AGAGUUUGAUCAUGGCUCAGGAUGAACGCUAGCUACAGGCUUAACACAUGCAAGUCGAGGGGCAGCAUUAAGUUAGCUUGCUAACUUAGAUGGCGACCGGCGCACGGGUGAGUAACGCGUAUCCAACCUUCCCCCUGCUCAGGGAUAGCCCGCUGAAAGGCGGAUUAACACCUGAUAGCUUCACUAGAUGGCAUCUGACGGUGAAUAAAGAUAACGGCAAGGGAUGGGGAUGCGUCUGAUUAGCUUGUUGGCGGGGUAACGGCCCACCAAGGCGACGAUCAGUAGGGGUUCUGAGAGGAAGGUCCCCCACAUUGGAACUGAGACACGGUCCAAACUCCUACGGGAGGCAGCAGUGAGGAAUAUUGGUCAAUGGGCGGAAGCCUGAACCAGCCCAAGUAGCGUGCAGGAAGACGGCCCUAUGGGUUGUAAACUGCUUUUGUACGGGAAUAAAGUGACCCACGUGUGGGUUUUUGCAUGUACCGUAAGAAUAAGGACCGGCUAAUUCCGUGCCAGCCGCGGC
rnacentral:rRNA from 1 species